GGUUGUAUCUAGACUGAAGGCAGUUCAAAUUAUUUACCAGAGCAGAUCGACACUUCUGCAAGGAUGAAGAUUUUCUUUAUUUUCGCGAUUUUCGCUGCUCUGUUUUUGAUGAUGGUGGCUGCAGACGACACAACCACUGAAAGCAAUGAUAAUAAUGAGAACGACGCAGGCGGAUUUUCAAUUUUUAACGUCAUUGCUAAGCCGCGUCCUCCAAGACGACGUCCAUCUUCAUAAACGUUUCGCAGGACUUCUCCCAUGAAUUCCUUCAAAGGAUAGACAAUUCUAUAUAUUUAGUUCCUGGCAUCCUCGUACCCUCAACGGCCAAAUCUUUUCUUUUUUUGUAGCGCACAGGGCUCGAAACAAUAUGGUUUUUAUUCAAUGCUUCAGAAAUACUAACAAAAUAACAUUUUAAUUGAUCAAACGGGAAUGGUAGUUAGUUGUGAUGAAUUUCAUGGAGAUUUUUGACGGUUACUUAUUUUUUUCAAACAUAUUUAAAAAUUGUAAAGAGGAAUAUAAUAUUAUUUGAUUCCAGUUCUGAUAUAUUCGCUCGAUUUUUAUUUUCAAAUAAGAACCAUUUAUAAAAUAUAAUUUGUGAUAAAAACGAUUUUAUUGUAAAAUAUUAAAUAAACUGCUUUUAGAACACCAAA